AUUUUAAGACUGCGUCGUGCAAAAUAAUACAAAACGGCCGUCACAGUUAAAGGGAUAUCACCAAUACUAUUAUCAAAAUUACCAUAAAAAAUAUGUAUUGAGCACCACAAUGACUGUGUUUACAAUUCAUCGUUGGCAAAAAUUAUAAUUAUUGUCUAGUUAAAAUAACAAAAAUGUGUAAACAUGGACAAAAAUCUUAAAAUAGCACGUUCGUAUUUAGUUGAAUUUUGAUAGUAAACUGUUACAAUUUUUCACAAACUUUAAUGCAUAUCAAUCUAUAAUAAUCAUACUACAAUUUGUCGUUUUAAAAUUUUCGAAAAUGUAGCUUGGUUAUUUUAGACAUUAUUUUGUUUAAAAUUGGGCCGCUGCGCGCCCUGUUUUGAAUCAUACGCAACGUACACCGGCCGAAAGUUCAGUCGUCCACGAGAGCUCGGAGAGUGGUCACGUCUCAUCGGGAAGCGACGCGCCGAUAACGAUACUUCGCGAUCUAUUGUGUACUUAUACCUUGCCAAACGCAAACGCAAACUGUUGAAUAAGUAAAAUGGGAAAGCUUAAGGAAAAAAAUUAUAAGAAGAAAGUUGGCGCUAAUUUACGAAAAAAAAAUGUUCUCGGAAAAAGAGCAAGUCCGGAUGGUAUUGUAGAAGAGGACAAAAUUGUGGAAAUUAACUGUCCUUAUUCAGCCAGAGACAUGAGUGUUGACGAUGGCAUAAGAGAAAAGAAAAUUAUUUUUUGGAAAAGAGACAAGGAAGGUAAUAUCAAUCUAAAUAAAAAUCAUGAUUGGUACUUCCAAGCACAAGGACAACUUCACAUUACACAAAGAAAAACAUGUAUAUUUGCCGUUUGGACUGAAGUAGACAUGAAGGUUGAACUAAUUGAGGAAGAUAAAGAAUUUUGGUGUAAAAUGGAAGAGAAAUUGAAAGCUUUUUAUUUUGAUUGCUUACUGCCUGAAAUUCUUGAUUCUCGGUUAGAUAGGCAAAUGGAUAUCAGGGAACCUAAAUAUAUUCUUGAUGCAAUCAAUCAAAAAGAUAAACGAAAAUUAUCGUCAUAAAUCACAUGAAUACAUUCUUAAAUUAUGCACCAACAUUCGUAAGUUAAGUUCAGUCUUCAGUCCGAGAUGCAAAUGUGCAUUUUUUUUGUAUAACCUAUCUUUGUGGUUGGAAAUAACUAUUAUAUUUUUUGAAUGAGGUUGAUACAUUCUUGUGUCUUUUACAGUUUCUUUUUAUGUAUUCUCACACAAAUUUUGGUCAGCUGAUGACAAAUUUGGAAAAUCAACAUUAUUUUUUCUGAAAUUAAUUAAUGCCUUUGAUUUCUCAAUUUUUAUUAAAAAAAACUACAACUCUUCGGUACAACCUGUAUAAUAAAUUAACCACGUUUCUGCGCUUUAAGUAUGUUUUUGUAAAAUUCUUAUCAAGUUGUUUUACGUCAGGUUAAAUUAAAGAUUUUUUUAUUA